CACUGAGUUUGGUUCCUCCACCAAAAGUGUAGCACAGUGAUACAUUCCAAUAAAGCCGUCGUACAAAAACCUCUGUUCCACUCCAGUGAUUCCACACACACACACACACACACACACACACACACACACACACACACACACACUAUAAGAGCUGUAGUUCUGAUCAGACUGGGUUCAGGACUUUCAGACUCACUGAGACGCAGCACAAUGAUGAAGGUUCUGAUUCUACUGCUGAAUACACUCGGCCUCCUCACUCAACAGUCGUUUGGAGAAACCAUCAUGACUCAGACUCCAGGAUCUCACUCGGUUUCUCCAGGACAAACUGUUACCAUCAACUGCAGAGCCAGUCAGGGCAUUAGCAACAACCUCCACUGGUACCAGCAGAAACCUGGAGAAGCUCCUAAACUCCUGAUCUAUUACGCAACUAAUCGUCAGUCUGGGAUUCCUGAACGUUUUAGUGGAAGUUACUCUGGUACAGAAUUUACUCUAAAAAUCACUGGAGUUCAGGCUGAAGAUGCAGGAGAUUAUUACUGUCAGCAGUAUAACAGCCUUCCCUUUACACAGUGUUAUUUACUGGUACAAAAACCUCCCUCAGCUGUAGAGGAAGUUCUCUGA